GCUGGGCGUGGUGGUGCAUGCCUGUAAUCCCAGCUACUUGGGAGGCUGAGGUAGGAGAAUUGCCUGAACCCAGGAGGUGGAGGUUGCAGUGAGCCGAGAUCAUGCCACUGCACUCCAGCCUGGGCAACAGAGCAAGACUCUGUCUCAA
rnacentral:sRNA from 1 species